GUGGGUGGGUCUAAGCUGCAAUGAGCCCUUAGGGAAGCAGCUGGGCUCGCUGCCCCCAGGCCCAGGGAUAAGCAAUGGGCAGAAGCAGCCCCUUCCCCCCGCUGGCCCCGCUCUGUGACGGAUGAGUUGUCAGAGGCAGCCGACAGCUUACACUGCUGCCAUGGGGCUCAAUGUGACCCCCGAAGCGCCACGCGAGUGACAGCUCUGGGGCCGGUGGCACCGCGUCCCUGCGUGGGGACAGAGCAGCUGUGGGACGUGACUGCGUCCCUUAGAGCCACAUCCACACCUCCCCUGAACGCCUCCGGGGAUGGGGCUGCCAACGCUUCCCUUUGCAGCCGCUUCCAGGUCUUGACCAGCCAAUGGUCAGUGUAAACCUCCCCUGGUGCGAUGUGGGGUCGGGAUCAUCCAGGCUGGGGAAGACCUUCAUGAGAUCAUGGAGUCAUAGGG
ensembl:lncRNA